UACGUAGGGGGCGAGCGUUGUCCGGAUUUAUUGGGCGUAAAGAGCUCGUAGGCGGUUCGAUAAGUCGGAUGUGAAAUCUCCACGCUCAACGUGGAGGGGCCGUUCGAUACUGUCGUGACUCGAGUCCGGUAGGGGAGUGUGGAAUUCCCGGUGUAGCGGUGAAAUGCGCAGAGAUCGGGAGGAACACCCGUAGCGAAGGCGGCACUCUGGGCCGGUACUGACGCUGAGGAGCGGAAGCGUGGGGAGCGAACAGG
rnacentral:rRNA from 1 species